rnacentral:rRNA from 1 species
CCUACGGGAGGCAGCAGUGAGGAAUAUUGGUCAAUGGGCGGGAGCCUGAACCAGCCAAGCCGCGUGAGGGAAGAAGGUCCAGCGUAUCGUAAACCUCUUUUGUCAGGGAACAAAGGCGGGGACUAGUCCCCGGAUGAGGGUACCUGAAGAAAAAGCAUCGGCUAACUCCGUGCCAGCAGCCGCGGUAAUACGGAGGAUGCGAGCGUUAUCCGGAUUUAUUGGGUUUAAAGGGAGCGCAGGCGGCCUGUUAAGUCAGCGGGAAAAGCCCGGGGCGCAACCCCGGCGAGCCGUUGAAACUGGCGGGCUGGAGUUGGAGAGAAGUACGCGGAAUGCGCGGUGUAGCGGUGAAAUGCUUAGAUAUCGCGCAGAACCCCGAUUGCGAAGGCAGCGUACCGACGCCACACUGACGCUGAGGCACGAAAGCGUGGGUAUCGAACAGGAUUAGAUACCCCGGUAGUC